UACGAAGGGGGCUAGCGUUGUUCGGAUUUACUGGGCGUAAAGCGCACGUAGGCGGAUAGUUAAGUGAGGGGUGAAAUCCCAGGGCUCAACCCUGGAACUGCCUUUCAUACUGGCUAUCUAGAGUCCGGAAGAGGUGAGUGGAACUCCUAGUGUAGAGGUGGAAUUCGUAGAUAUUAGGAAGAACACCAGUGGCGAAGGCGGCUCACUGGUCCGGUACUGACGCUGAGGUGCGAAAGCGUGGGGAGCGAACAGG
rnacentral:rRNA from 1 species